rnacentral:misc_RNA from 1 species
AAGUCGUAACAAGGUUGACUCCUUCUUUGCAAAGACACUUUUGCGAAAGCCUUGAAGCAGCAUCGACUAAACAGUUGGAUGCUAGUGAGAGUCUGCCAGAGCGCACUCUUGCGACACCAUCGAAUUGCGGGGAAGCCCUUAGAGCUCAACGACCCCAAGCUUGAUACCGGAAACGGUCAAGUGGCCCCAAGCUAACCCUUGGGGAUAUGGGAAUAGUGCGUUUGAGAUUGGGUUAUCCGCAGCCAACAGCCAUCCUAACGAGCCUACCAAGGCGGUCGAGGGGGCUAGGUCCACAGACUAAGCGAUGGUGGGUUUGCUUGCAUGCAAGCCUAAGAUAUAGUCGAAUCCUCUCGUGCAAACGAGAUUUGGUAACGCGUUUCGUAGGUGAACCUGCGGAAGGAUCAUUAGUGAAUUCUUGGGAGUCCCUCUUAACCAGAGAAGGCCCAUUCCACUAUUUUCAAACCCUAGUGCAUUUGGUCCCUUUUUUACCACACCCUUUAUGUAAUUGAACAAGUCCAAUGAAUCUUUUGAUAAAUGAAAGAAAAA